rnacentral:pre_miRNA from 1 species
GUAUGUCUGUGUGUGUGUGUGUAUGUCUGUGUGUCUGUGUGUGUGUAUGUCAUUAUGUCUGUCAUAGACACACACAGACAUACUGACAUACAUACACAAACAGACAU